AGAACGAACGCUGGCGGCAUGCCUAACACAUGCAAGUCGAACGAGACCGCUGACUUCGGUUGGCGCGUCUAGUGGCGCACGGGUGCGUAACGCGUGGGAAUCUGCCCUUGGGUACGGAAUAACAGUUAGAAAUGACUGCUAAUACCGUAUAAUGACUUCGGUCCAAAGAUUUAUCGCCCAGGGAUGAGCCCGCGUAGGAUUAGCUUGUUGGUGAGGUAAAAGCUCACCAAGGCGACGAUCCUUAGCUGGUCUGAGAGGAUGAUCAGCCACACUGGGACUGAGACACGGCCCAGACUCCUACGGGAGGCAGCAGUGGGGGAAUAUUGGACAAUGGGCGAAAGCCUGAUCCAGCAAUGCCGCGUGAGUGAUGAAAGCCUUAGGGUUGUAAAGCUCUUUUGCCCGGGAUGAUAAUGACAGUACCGGGAGAAUAAGCUCCGGCUAACUCCGUGCCAGCAGCCGC
rnacentral:rRNA from 1 species